GAUGAACGCUGGCGGCGUGCCUAAUACAUGCAAGUCGAGCGAAUGGAUUAAGAGCUUGCUCUUAUGAAGUUAGCGGCGGACGGGUGAGUAACACGUGGGUAACCUGCCCAUAAGACUGGGAUAACUCCGGGAAACCGGGGCUAAUACCGGAUAACAUUUUGAACCGCAUGGUUCGAAAUUGAAAGGCGGCUUCGGCUGUCACUUAUGGAUGGACCCGCGUCGCAUUAGCUAGUUGGUGAGGUAACGGCUCACCAAGGCAACGAUGCGUAGCCGACCUGAGCGGGUGAUCGGCCACACUGGGACUGAGACACGGCCCAGACUCCUGCGGGAGGUAGCAGUAGGGAAUCUUCCGCAAUGGACGAAAGUCUGACGGAGCAACGCCGCGUGAGUGAUGAAGGCUUUCGGGUCGUAAAACUCUGUUGUUAGGGAAGAACAAGUGCUAGUUGAAUAAGCUGACACCUUGACGGUACCUAACCAGAAAGCCACGGCUAACUACGUGCCAGCCGCCGCAGUAA
rnacentral:rRNA from 1 species